CACGUAGGGCGCAAGCGUUUGUCCGGAAUUAUUGGGCGUAAAGAGCUCGUAGGCGGUUCGUCGCGUCGGCUGUGAAAUCCCGAGGCUCAACCUCGGGUCUGCAGUCGAUACGGGCGGACUGGAGUUCGGCAGGGGAGACUGGAAUUCCUGGUGUAGCGGUGAAAUGCGCAGAUAUCAGGAGGAACACCGGUGGCGAAGGCGGCUCUCUGGACCGACACUGGACGCUGAGGCGCGAAAGCCGUGGGGAGCAAACAGG
rnacentral:rRNA from 1 species